UCCGUUCUUCUUGCCAUUGCAUUGCCACGUCGGCGUUCUUUCGCUGUGCUUGACGCCCAGCCGGGACGGGCGGAGAUUAUUUUAUCCCACUGGUAUUAUUCCCGUGUCCCGUGCCGGCAUCCUCCUCUUUUUCUCUCUGCGCGUAUCGGGCGGACGGACUUGUGCCAUCAGAACCCAUCGUAUUCGUUCAUCCUAUUUAUUCCCUUUCGGAGAAGAACCCUCGUCAUUAGCCUCACAAACCAUCUGAUUCCUAUUCCAUCCCCCAUCUCUUGGCCGACGAACGAUGGACGCCAGGGCGGCCGCGAUCUCGAAACCGAUCGUGCUGAUCACCAAUGAUGACGGGAUCGAUGCCCCCGGGCUGCGCUUCCUCGUCGACCUCCUCGUCGCCACCGAUCGCUACCGUGUUCUUGUUUGCGCCCCCGCUUCGGACCAGUCAGGUGUUAGCCAUAGCGUCACGUGGCGUCAUCCUCUCAGUGCCAAACGUGUUGAAAUUGAAGGUGCUGCAGCCUUUGCAGUUUCAGGAACUCCUGCAGAUUCUGCUUCUUUGGGUAUUUCUGGAAAGCUCUUUGAUGGUAUAAUUCCUGAUUUGGUAAUCAGCGGCAUCAACAUUGGUUGCAAUUGUGGAUAUCAUGUAGUUUACUCUGGGACAGUAGCUGGUGCUCGGGAGGCUUUCUUAUAUGGUGUCCCUGCUUUAGCUAUAUCACAUAAUUGGAUGGGCAGUAAGAGCACUGUCAAUGACCUCAAACUUGCUGCAGAGGUUUGCUUGCCUGUCAUAAAUGCUGUGUUGACUGACCUCAGAAAUAAGACAUACCCUGAAGGUUCAUUUUUGAAUAUAGACGUGCCAACAGAUGUUGCACAUCACAAGGGAUUUAAGAUCACAAAACAGGGGAAGGCCAUGGUCCGGAUUGGGUGGGAGCAGACAAAUGAAAACACACCAAGCAUGGAAAGCUAUCAAACAGCAAAUAUUGAUGUUGACAUGACACCAAUCUCUGAAAAGAAUGCCUCGGUUCCAGUAGAAAAUCAUCUUUUGUUCAAGAGAGUGGCAUCAAAACAGGUUUUGAAUAAGUGGAUGUGGACAUGUUACCAAAUGACAACUCUAAGUUCUUGUGACAACUCUAGUAGCUUUCAAAGAGAAAGAUGGAAGAGGACGAAGCAGAGGACACAGACCAUAAAGCCCUUCAAGAAGGAUAUAUUACAAUCACCCCUCUAGGUGCCCUCUCUCAUGCGGAGGCUGAUGCCAUGACCUACUUUAAAGAUUGGCUGCUGCAUUUGGCUGAUUAUUCAUCAUCCUCCUUAUAAAAGUUCCUUGUCUGUUUUGUGCAGGACCCAGCAAAUGAAUCUGUUCAUUAAAGAUAUCAAUUACCUGAUUAUUUUGGUUGCCACCUGAGAUUCACUAAAGCAAACUGUGCUUCAGGCUUGUGUAGUCCUUGUGGAUAUCAGCUGUCCCUUCAUCGCUGUUAUUGUGGACAGCCAUAUCUGAUACAUUUAAGAUUUAGUUGCAUGUAUGAGGAUCAUGUCCACUGAAACUUUUUCUACUAUGUGAUAUUUAAUAGUAACCUUCAGCUGUUAAUGCUGCCAAACACCACCAGCUUUUCCCAGACAGUGAGUUUUUCCUUUUGGUCUCAACGCAGAUAGCAAGUUUAUCUUAGCACUUGGUACACAUUUAAUGUCUUACCUAAGGUCUUGUAUCCUGCAUUUUGCUUCAGCUAGUCUAUGUAAACUUCGUAGACUACCAA